GAGGGCGUAGCUCAGUGGUAGAGUGUGUGCUUAGCAGGCACAAGGUCCUGGGUUCGAUCCCCAGUACCUCCA
rnacentral:tRNA from 1 species